rnacentral:rRNA from 1 species
UUUUAGAUUUUGAAGCGGCAAUAAGUAACAACGACCAAAAUUUAUAUUCGAAUUUAGACGACAAUAACAACAAAGGUUUUGCUGGAAAAUUCAAUGGAAAACAACGCCUUUUUGACGGAAAAACCAAGAUUGAUGCGUUUGCCAAUUAUCAGUUGGUACAAGAAAAUUUCAAAACCAUUGAACGUUUGUACAACAUUGAAUUUAAUAGAGAUUGGAACAUCACUUCUACUUUUUUGGGGAAUCAAAGUUUUUUAACUUCGGGAUUGGAUUUUAAUUUCAAUAACAAAGGAAAAGCGAUUUAUCAAUUUGAAAAUUUAGCUUUUGGCGAUGCUUUUUUGGGAAACAAACACACUUUAACAGGAAGAUAUGCUACCAAAAAAUGGAUGAUUUGGAGUAAUUCGAGCAUAAUGAAAAACGAUUCUGAACUUUCAAAUUCGUCUUUUGCUAGAAGUCAAAAUCGUUCGUCGUAUAAAUUGGGUAAAAAUUGGGUUGGUGCUACAGUAAAUUUGGAAGAUAAUUCUGAUAAACUGAAGGCAACCAAUACAUUUUCGGCCUUGAGCCAACGUUUUUUAGAAUAUGGCGCAUUUGUGGGAAGAGGGAAGAGCUCAAUCUUAAAAUCGGCCUGUGCGAGAGCAUGGUCGAAUUGUAGUCUAGAGGGGUAGUGCCUAGCUGAAGUGGCAAGGGGAAUUCCCAUUGUUAGGUGUAGGCGCAGCGAAAGCGAGUCUGAAUAGGGCGAAUAAGUACGUCGCAUGACGACCCGAAACCAGGUGAUCUAUCCAUGAGCAGGUUGAAGGCUGGGUAACACCAGCUGGAGGACCGAACCCGUGAAUGUUGAAAAAUUCUGGGAUGACUUGUGGAUAGGGGUGAAAGGCCAAUCAAACCUGGACAUAGCUGGUUCUCCGCGAAAUCUAUUUAGGUAGAGCGUCAGACGAAUUCCUUGGGGGGUAGAGCACUGGAUGGAUGCGGGCGGCGCGAGCUGUACCAAUUCUAACCAAACUCCGAAUACCCAAGAGAACUAUCUGGCAGACACACGGCGGGUGCUAACGUCCGUCGUGAAAAGGGAAACAACCCUAACCAUCAUCUAAGGCCCCCAAGUAACGGCUAAGUGGGAAACGAUGUGGGAUUGCUUUGACAACCAGGAUGUUGGCUUAGAAGCAGCCAUCAUUUAAAGAAAGCGUAACAGCUCACUGGUCAAGCGAUCCUGCGCGGAAAAUGUAACGGGGCUUAAGCCGUUCGCCGAAGGUAUGGGUGUGCGUAAGCACGCGGUAGCGGAGCGUUCCGUAAGCCUGUGAAGGUCAGUCGUGAGGCUGGCUGGAGGUAUCGGAAGUGAGAAUGCUGACAUGAGUAGCGACAAAGAGUGUGAGAGACACUCUCGCCGAAAGUCCAAGGGUUCCUGCGUAAAGUUAAUCUGCGCAGGGUUAGCCGGCCCCUAAGGCGAGGCCGAAAGGCGUAGUCGAUGGGAACCAGGUGAAUAUUCCUGGGCCAGCUGGAAGUGACGAAUUCCGUAAAUUGUCGGGGCUUACUGGAUUGCUCCCGGCAGUGAAGGGGUUCCUGGAAAUAACUCCAGCGGAGACCGUACCCGAAACCGACACAGGUGGACUGGUAGAGCAUACCAAGGCGCUUGAGAGAACUAUGCUGAAGGAACUCGGCAAAUUGCACGCGUAACUUCGGGAUAAGCGUGACUCUGCUUAGGGCAACCUUUGUAGAGUGGCACAGGCCAGGGGGUAGCGACUGUUUAUCAAAAACACAGGGCUCUGCGAAGCCGCAAGGCGACGUAUAGGGUCUGACGCCUGCCCGGUGCCGGAAGGUUAAAAGGAGGGGUGCAAGCUCCGAAUUGAAGCCCCGGUAAACGGCGGCCGUAACUAUAACGGUCCUAAGGUAGCGAAAUUCCUUGUCGGGUAAGUUCCGACCUGCACGAAUGGCGUAACGACUUCCCCACUGUCUCCAGGAUAUGCUCAGCGAAAUUGAAUUC